AGUGAACGCUGGCGGUAGGCCUAACACAUGCAAGUCGAACGGCAGCACAGUAAGAGCUUGCUCUUACGGGUGGCGAGUGGCGGACGGGUGAGGAAUACAUCGGAAUCUACUUUUUCGUGGGGGAUAACGUAGGGAAACUUACGCUAAUGCCGCAUACGACCUACGGGUGAAAGCAGGGGAGCUUCGGACCUUGCGCGAUUGAAUGAGCCGAUGUCGGAUUAGCUAGUUGGCGGGGUAAAGGCCCACCAAGGCGACGAUCCGUAGCUGGUCUGAGAGGAUGAUCAGCCACACUGGAACUGAGACACGCUCCAGACUCCUACGGGAGGCAGCAGUGGGGAAUAUUGGACAAUGGGGGCAAGCCUGAUCCAGCCAUACCGCGUGGGUGAAGAAGGCCUUCGGGUUGUAAAGCCCUUUUGUUGGGAAAGAAAAGCAGCAGGUUAAUACCCCGCUGUUCUGACGGUACCCAAAGAAUAAGCACCGGCUAACUUCGUG
rnacentral:rRNA from 1 species